AAAAGUUUCUCUUACAGUGUCCAGUCUUACCUAAAUAUAAGCAAGUACCCUCCUUUGUUAUACCUCUUCUAGGUUUCAAAGCAUGAGCAAUAAGUUUGGGUCGGGAAACUAUCUUGUCUUUCCCUUUACUACCCUGCUUGGUAGGCCUUUUUUUCUGCUUCUUUCCAUUGUUGACCAUCAGAAUAACCUUCCCUUUUGAUUUCAGAUUUUGCUCAGCAGUUCUCAACAUGUCUAGUAGAUCUGGAAGACUUUUGUCCAUAUCAUUCAUAUUGAGUUUAAGGAUAAACUGAAUGAAGAUCUUCGACAACGAUUGCAGAUUCAAAUCAGUCGCAAGCUCAUUUCCAAG
rnacentral:lncRNA from 1 species